AUGAUCUUUGGUAUUAAGGGUGCUCAUAAGAGUUAAAAGGGAAUACAAUAACGCUUGUUUAAUACAAAGCGCAAAAUGUAGCUGCUCCCGCAACUGUAAGAAGCUCGUUUAAGUGAAAUGCCACUGGCUCAAGCUGGGAAGGUCACUUAAGGAUCGGCUCAGCCAGGAAACCUGCCUUUAAAUGUCAUCUCUU
rnacentral:ncRNA from 2 species